CCAAGUGCACCAGAAAGGCAAAGCUUCCAGGCUUUCUGUCCUGUGAAGAAAGGUGUUUUUUUUUUGUUUUUUGAGCCCUGCACUGAAACUGACGGUUCGAGUCCCAGAAGUCCACCCAGAUGAAGAUUCCUCCCAGACCAAAGGUACCACCAAAAAAGCUCUUGCUGCCCAUUGAGUGCCGAGGCUGACCCACCAAGUGCACCAGAAAGCCAAAGCUUCCAGGCUUUCUUUCCUGUGAAGAAACUGGUUUUUUUUGGUUUUUUGAGGCCUGCACUGAAACUGCCAGUUCGAGUCCCAGAAGUCCACCCAGCUGAAGAUUCCUCCCAGACCAAGGGUGCCACACCAGAAAUCUCCUGCUGGCGAGGGAGUUCCCAGGCUGGCCCGCCAAGUGCACCAGAAAGCCAAAGCUUCCAGGCUUUCUGUCCUGCCAAUAAGUGAGGGUUUUUUUGUUUUUUGAGCCCUGCACUGAAACUGCCAGUUCCAGUCCCAGAAGUCCACCCAGAUGAAGAUUCCUCCCAGACCAAAGGUGCCACACCAGAAAUCUGCUGCUGGCCAUGGAGUUCCCAGGCUGACCCAUGAAGUGCACCAGAAAGCCAAAGGUUCCAGGCUUUCUGUCCUGCGAAUAAGUGUUUUGUUUUU